rnacentral:lncRNA from 1 species
UGAAAUGUUUGUUUUCUCCUUUUUGAGAGUUGCCUGUUUUCUACUAAAUUUCAGAACAUGUAUCUUUCUGCCAGUAAUGUGAUUACGCAGGGCUUUCUCUGCAUUGUAUCAUUGAAACUGGUAGUAGUAGAAUUAGAAUAGCAAGAAACUGAAAAAUGCUAUGGAGAGUCGUACUUAUGUACACAACAUAGAAGGUUUGCAAAUCAAAUGAUUUAUGGAAGUUUGUUUGGCUCAUGUCCUUAAUAUUAGGAAUAUGUAGGCUGGCCUUACAAAUAUGAUUUAAUUCCAUUUUUAUCAUAACAAAACUCUCUUUAUAGUUUUUACAGAGAGGGUAAAAAUAAGACAAUAAAUUUUUCAAAUAAGUGAUAAUUUUAUUACUUUCUUAUUUCUACAAACAUUUAACAAAUGAAUUUACUUGGAGAAGUUAAAAAUAUAUCAUUGAGGCAAAAAAAUAUAAAUUACAAUUAUUUAUUCAAAUAAAAUAUAUUUUGAAUAGAAUAAUUAUUAGUUAGGUUGUACUCACCUUUCUGUCGAAAUUUGGAUUAACAGGAUCCAUUUCUCUGCGAAUCAAAGGUUAACAAUAAAUAUAUAUANNNNNNNNNNNNNNNNNNNNNNNNNUAUAUAUAUAUAUAUAUAUAUAUAUAUAUAUAUAUAUAUAUAUAUAUAUAUAUAUAUAUAUAUAUAUAUCUAUGUAUGUAUGUAUGUUGGGGUAGUCUAAGAUACCUUAUUAUUCUUCAUAUUUAUUAUGCCUGCCCCUGCAAGGUAUCCUCUCCCCUUCUAAAAAGGGAGACAGUGUGGUAGUUUAGAGACAAAUUUGAUAGAUCGUGGAUAGUUUAGAAAUGAUUUAUUAGAUUUUUAUAUUCUAUGAAGUAAAUAAAAGAUAGAUUGGUAGUUUUUUGUUUUGUUUUGAAGAAGCUAAAUUUGUCCACUUAAAUUGACAUUUGAGAGAAUCGAACCUGAGAUCUCGAGGAGGGGCACACUCUCAGGUCCCGGGACAACCCAAAUUGGAUAGAUUGGUAGUUUAGAAACCAAAUUGGAGAUUUAUACUUACCAAAUAUUAGUAGCGUGGAUGGUCUAAAACAUCAACAUGGAACUAAUAUUUGGUAUGGAUCAAUUUCAAUGUUUUUUAAGAGUUUAAUACUAUGUAUUCAUCCCUUCAAACAACAAGAGAGUUUAAUACAGUGUACCAAUAAUACUAAAAUUUUAUCAUGUAGAUUCAUUUCCCCUUCCACAACAUGUUGUGCAAAUGCAAAUUAUGCAAUAUGGCUUUCUUCCUUUUAUUGUUCCUUGUUGAUGAUUUUCCAUUGGCAAGUUCUUUAGACUCAUUAUUAUUAAGAUAAGAUUGUAAAGCAACUAGUCAACUGGAUUUUUGGUUAUGAAGUGUAAUAAUUUUCACUGUCAGCUUCUUUUGUUAGGACUCGUUUACAAGGAUAAGGUUUGGAAAGAUGCUAGUCCCCGUCGACAUUUUUGUCUUCUAAUAACAGCUAAAGUAUGUAAUGAUAAGGAGAGGGUGCAACUGCAAUGAUGGAAUCAUGUGUUGGUGUAAAAAAAGAAUAUAUAAUUAAAGGGUCGGUUAACUAUUGUCUAUCC